ensembl:snRNA U1 U1 spliceosomal RNA
AUACUUACCUGGCAGGGGAGAUACCCUGACCACGAAGGUGUUUUUCCCAGGGUGAGGCUUAUCCAUUGCAUUCCAGAUGUGCUGACCCCUGUGAUGCUCCCAAAUGUAGGAAACUUGACGGCAUAAUUUGUGGUAGUAGGGACCUGCUUUCACACUCUUCCCUG